GCCAGCUAUAUAUAUCCUCACAUUCUUGUUGAUAAUUAAGUAAAUACUUAUCACCAUAUAUUGCAUGUGGGCGUGAAUGGGGCGGACUUAUUGCUGUGUAAAUAUAUUACGAGCGUGCUGAAUUGCAUGGCUUUUUGUAAGGUUUUGAAAAGGGACUAAUUUUUACAAUGACAUUCAGAACAUAUAGUAUAAAUCUAAAGUCAGUCAAGAGAUGGUUAAUGACAAAUUAGGAAAGUAUAAAGCAAUUGCAAAACAAGAUAUUUGAGGAGAUUUUUCAGAAUUUGAAUUUCGUUAUCUUUGUUAGGCAUUGCCUCCGAAUCCAUGCUAUUCGCGAUGAAAUUAGAUGGUUUGGAUGCAACUAUACCUAAAAAAUAGUUAAUCGCCACAACGAAAGCUUUUUUACAUCAUUGGCACUACCUAAACUGGCAUAUAUACUACUCGCAUACAUACAGUAGAUAGUUCAAUUGGAAAUUAGAACCAGCGCGAUGUACAAUAACUUAUAAUAGCAGCUGUGUGUCCAAUAUAGUAUGUGAAUUUAAUUAUAACGAAGUAUUUUAACACAGUCAUGGUCAAUUCUCCUAUAUAACACGCUCACGAAACUCCCGCAGAGAGGGGAUUUCCCCUUUCACACAGAAAAAUAGUUAGGCUAAUUUUUACUAAAUUACUAACGAAUUUACUAGUAGCAAGAAAUAGUAACGAAGUUACUAACAAAUGUUUUUAUACAAAAGAAUACGGGAUGUUUUUAAUGACUACGGACAACAACUAUCAAAUAAAUUUCAAGGAAAAUGUAGUUGAAGUCCAUUUUCAUUGCGCAAUUGAACAACGUAUUAAUUACGUCAGCCUAUUUCUAUGAAUAUUUAUUUUGAAUUUUUCUCUUUAUUUGAGCCUAGAAGUUACAAAUAGUGUUCAAGUAAAUGUGAAACAUGCGCCAUAUACUUCAUUAUUUGAUACAUAUAUGAGCAGUCAGUCAAGAAACACGAAUAUAGUACUGCAUUGUAAUCCUAUAGACCAUGUUUAUAUAUAUAUUGUUCUUUGUAUAUUUCUUUGUAUAUAAAAGCACGCAAUUUCAAUUCCAAUCUGGCGACAUAAUUCGUUUAUGAAAUAAACAGUUUGCAUUAUAUAUCCUUUAACAUAUAGGGCCAGGGGGGCUUUGGGGAAAAAAAUGACAAAUAGUUAAAACUAUAUUGAAUCCAAAAAGGUCGUAAUAUGAAACGUGUCACGGAUAGGAAUCGAAUUUACAAUCACGAUUAAAUUACAUGUAUCAAUUUCAUUAAAAAUUAAUUGCACUUACUACAGGCGAUAAAACAACGUCGAGUAUCAUCAAUUUCCUGAUCUUCACAUUGCUUCAAUAACUUGGGACAUUUCGCGCAGCCGCCACUCAGGAAAUCGCUUUUAUAUUGGCCUUUCCCGCAGUCUUUAUCGGCGUUGUAAGCAACUCCAAUGCCAAUGUAGAUUAGACAUAGGUAUGACAGGAACCACGGAAAUAUUGAGUGCAUCUCGCCGGCAGGACCACGGUGGUACAAACGAUUUUGAAUGGCUAUAUAUUGUCUGUAAUAGAUAUUAGAUAUGGCGCGGAUACCGAGCGAAUUCUGUGGUUGUUAUUUAAAGGAAGCCAUUCUAUGAUUAAGAUACCCUUGUUGCCUGGUAUUACCGCUCGAUGUAAAGGUUUCAUGAAUUUUGCGAUGCCAGGCGAUCGAUAACGAUUUACCACAAAUCUGCCUUUCGGAGACCAUUCAGUGUAGUGCUCUACUGUAUGUGUGAUGACGAAUGAC